GAAGUGUGACUNGGGGACUCCAGUGCUCAUGUACUGCAUGAGCUUUUGCCAAAGGUAAGUACUUUGGCGAAUAAGCGGUGGGAAAGACUGGUGCCAGCCGCCGCGGUAACACCAGCGCCGCAAGUGGGGACCGUUUUUAUUGGGCCUAAAGCGUUCGUAGCCGGCCGAGUAAAUCUCCUGUGAAAUCGUUGUGCUUAACAUAACGGCGUGCAGGGGACACUGCUUGGCUUGGGACCGGGAGGCGUGUGAGGUAUUCUGGGGGUAGCGGUAAAAUGCGAUAAUCCCUAGAGGACCACCUGUGGCGAAGGCGUCACACGAGGACGGAUCCGACGGUGAGGGACGAAAGCUAGGGGAGCAAACCGGAUUAGAUACCCGAGUAGUCCUAGCAGUAAACGCUGCGAGCCAGGUGUUGCGCAUUCUACGGGAGUGUGCAGUGUCGAAAAGAAGUUGUUAAGCUCGCCGCCUGGGAAGUACGGUCGCAAGGCUGAAACUUAAAGGAAUUGGCGGGGGGAGCACA
rnacentral:rRNA from 1 species